GCCAGACUCCUACGGGAGGCAGCAGUGGGGGAUAUUGCACAAUGGAGGGAACUCUGAUGCAGCGACGCCGCGUGAGGGAAGAAGGUUUUCGGAUUGUAAACCUCUGUCUUCGGUGACGAAACGAGACGGUAGCCGAGGAGGAAGCCACGGCUAACUACGUGCCAGCAGCCGCGGUAAUACGUAGGUGGCGAGCGUUGUCCGGAUUUACUGGGCGUAAAGGGAGCGUAGGCGGACUUUUAAGUGAGAUGUGAAAUACUCGGGCUCAACUUGAGUGCUGCAUUUCAAACUGGAAGUCUAGAGUGCAGGAGAGGAGAGUGGAAUUCCUAGUGUAGCGGUGAAAUGCGUAGAGAUUAGGAAGAACACCAGUGGCGAAGGCGACUCUCUGGACUGUAACUGACGCUGAGGCUCGAAAGCGUGGGGAGCAAACAGGAUUAGAUACCCUGGUAC
rnacentral:rRNA from 1 species